rnacentral:rRNA from 1 species
CCUUCGGGUUGUAAAGCUCUUUCAGCAGGAACGAAACGGUUAUUUCUAAUAAAGAUGACUAAUGACGGUACCUGAAGAAGAAGCACCGGCUAACUACGUGC